UUUAUACUCCCUCCGUUCGGAAUUACUUGUCUCGGAAAUGGAUGUAUUUAGAACUAAAAUACAUCUAGAUACAUCCAUUUCUGCGACAAGUAAUUCCGAACGGAGGGAGUAUUUG
rnacentral:pre_miRNA from 1 species